GACAUCGUGAUAAUUUUAUGAAAAAUGCAGAAGAAAAAUUUAAUAAUUUCGCUGCAGGUACAUCUACUAGUUCCGAUCAAGGCGUUGGUGAUAAAAUUACACUUUUAAAUGACCUAGGCAAAUACUACGAUGAUCUAACAGGUUCAAAAUGUAUUGCGAAAACCAGGACUCCAUUAGCUUACUGUACUUAUCUUAGUAAGUUAUUAUAUAGUAUAUUCGUAUAUAAAAAUUCAAUUUUUUGAGUCUAAAAUGUCCAAAUAUAAUAUUAUUUACUAACA